ACAAGAAGACGUGCUUAUGAGAUUUCCGGGGCAUUAAAAUCUUCGGGAAAUACUCUCCUCCAUUCUCUAACAUUGAAUGUGUGUUUGGUGAAGAUGUGAGAGAGGGCUUUCACUGUGGCUGCACUCAGUUAAUGGAAUUCAUUUCUAUAGCAGGUGUAACUCACCCCCUUUCUGAUUGCCUUGUACCACCAUGCUAAUGUUAAUAAUAAUGGCAGACAUUCAGACUUAACACUGUGCUAGGGCAGCGAACAAAGAUGCACCCAUGCAAGAAGGCCUUGUAGCUCAGUAGAUGCUUAGGGUUACUCAGAGAGAGAGAAAAGAACUCAGGAAUGACUGGGCAGAGAGAUCUGAAAUUUGGCCAUUUCCAGGAUGGCAGAACUCUGUGAGGCUGUUCUCACAACUAACAGGGGUGGGCUGGAGGGAAGGCAGGAUCUUACCUGUCUGCUCCUAGAUGACCAGAGCCUCCUUAUGGCUUUGCAGCUUGUACACCCACAAGAAUGUCGCAACGGCAUUCUCUAGAGAGGCAGCCCUUAGGACAGCAACAGUUCUCAUCUUGGCCCUGCUUUCGACCCAACUCUAUGGUUAACAUGGCUUCUGGCAGCCCAGAAACCAUUUUAAAAGCACCAGCAGCACAGACAACCAGGACAAAAGAUGUUGGUCCUAGGAGGAAUAGUUUUCCAUGUUGCGGCAUCAUCAUGCAAUCAUCAUUCCACUUCAUUGGAUUCUAAUGGUCGGUGAGAAAAUGCAUGUCCUGAUGAUGUCACUCACAAGACAGCUAUGGACUGUCCAGCGUGCUGAAUCUGCAAGAUGAGCAUGAGUCAAACAAAGCAUAUCCCAGGAAACAAAACUGUGCAGAAGGAGGGACCUCAGACAUGCACACCAACAG